rnacentral:lncRNA from 1 species
AGGUUUAAAGUUGAUGUUUUAAGUUUAAAUUUAGGGUUUAGGGUUUACGUUUAAGGUUUAGAGUUGAUGUUUUAGGAUUUAGAUUUGAAGUUUUAGGGUUUAAGGUUUAGAGUUGAUGUUUUCGGGGUUUAGGGUUUAGAGUUGAUGUUUCAUGGUUUAGGGUUUAGAGUUGAUGAUUAAGGGUUUAGAGUUGAUGUUUUAAGUUUAAAUUAGUUAACCAUAUGUUUCUUUUUUUUGUCAAAGGUAAUUAAAAGGUUAUAAAUGUCUUUUACGCUUCAUUAAAGAUGAGGAUAAAAGUGGUUAGUGUAAACAUGAAAAAUAGUACUUUGAAAAUGGUAUUUUUGGCAA